rnacentral:rRNA from 1 species
GAUGAACGCUAGCUACAGGCUUAACACAUGCAAGUCGAGGGGUAGCAGGGUAGCAAUACCGCUGACGACCGGCGCACGGGUGAGUAACACGUAUCCAACCUUCCCAUAACUCGGGGAUAGCCUUUCGAAAGAAAGAUUAAUACCCGAUUGUACUUUUUCAAGGCAUCUUGAGAAAGUUAAAGAUUUAUUGGUUAUGGAUGGGGAUGCGUUCCAUUAGAGAGUUGGUGAGGUAACGGCUCACCAAGUCUUCGAUGGAUAGGGGUUCUGAGAGGAAGGUCCCCCACAUUGGUACUGAGACACGGACCAAACUCCUACGGGAGGCAGCAGUGAGGAAUAUUGGUCAAUGGGCGAGAGCCUGAACCAGCCAAGUAGCGUGAAAGAUGAAGGUCCUAUGGAUUGUAAACUUCUUUUAUAGUAGAAUAAAGUGACCUACGUGUAGGUUUUUGUAUGUAUACUAUGAAUAAGGAUCGGCUAACUCCGUGCCAGCCGCCGCCGUAAAAC